CAUAUAUAUAAAAUGAUCAAAGAAACAUUGCAUGAGUAAUCCAAAAAAAAAAAAAAAACAUUCCAUCAAGUAAUCAAAAACAAAAAAAUGGCUGAAAAUCUCAAAUUUGUUUUUCCGGUGAUCAUUUUUGUUUUCCUCUUUCUUGUUGUAGUCAAAGGUAUAGUCACUAUAAGUAAUUUACCGCCUUUGAAACCAGGAACAGAAUGUGUUACUAACAAAGAUUGUAAGAAAAUUAAUGAUGCCAUGCGGUAUUGCUUGAAUGGUUAUUGUCGAUACGAACGUAAAGAGGGGUGGUGGUAAAAUCACCCCCCCCCCCCCCUCCCCAAAUUCUAAAUUGUUUUUCUUUUCCCUUUCAAUAAGUGAUUUCUAAAUAAGACAGAACAGAUAUUAUUAAACACAAGAAUGAACAUGUGUUUUUACUUUUAUGAACUUAAAUAUUAUAAUAUUAGCAUUUGGCGGAAAUCACACCAUUGUUAGCGUGGACAUCAACGGAUGGCAUGUAUUUGCAUGUUUCGUUUGUCCAGUCCUUCGUACUAUUAACCAUUUCCGUUUUCA